UGCGCCAUAAGGAGUCCCACGCCCACUUGUUUUCAUGCCUAUUUAUUCUCCAAGAUGUGAGAUCCUUGUGCAUGUAAGAUUUGAUGGAAAAAAUCCUUUUCUCCAUGAGAUAUGUGGGUGCAAAAGAAGAAAGGGUGGGCGGCAUCAAUAAUUCUAGAGUCCAAGGGAGUUUGGACUCUUAUCUCUAACUUAAAACCUUAUCUCUUCUUCCUAUUUAAACAUGGCAUCAUAUGGGGCAUUGUAAUGGCUGAUGGAGAUCAGUU
rnacentral:lncRNA from 1 species